rnacentral:misc_RNA from 1 species
UCCGGGUUUCGCCCGGCAGUCUCCCUAGAACAUUCAACUAAGGACAGGGUUCUGCUUCUGCGAUGUCAAGCCUAGGUGAGGUUCUUCGCGUUGCAUCGAAUUAAACCACACGCUCCGCUGCUUGUGCGGGCCCCCGUCAAUUCCUUUGAGUUUUAGCCUUGCGGCCGUACUCCCCAGGCAGGGCACUUAAUGCGUUAGCUGCGGCACCGGAGGGGUCGAUACCCCCGACACCUAGUGCCCACCGUUUACGGCGUGGACUAC